rnacentral:rRNA from 1 species
CCUACGGGAGGCAGCAGUCGAGAAUCAUUCACAAUGGGGGAAACCCUGAUGGUGCGACGCCGCGUGGGGGAAUGAAGGUCUUCGGAUUGUAAACCCCUGUCAUGUGGGAGCAAAUUAAAAAGAUAGUACCACAAGAGGAAGAGACGGCUAACUCUGUGCCAGCAGCCGCGGUAAUACAGAGGUCUCAAGCGUUGUUCGGAAUCACUGGGCGUAAGGCGUGCGUAGGCUGUUUCGUAAGUCGUGUGUGAAAGGCGCGGGCUCAACCCGCGGACGGCACAUGAUACUGCGAGACUAGAGUAAUGGAGGGGGAACCGGAAUUCUCGGUGUAGCAGUGAAAUGCGUAGAUAUCGAGAGGAACACUCGUGGCGAAGGCGGGUUCCUGGACAUUAACUGACGCUGAGGCACGAAGGCCAGGAGAGCGAAAGGGAUUAGAUACCCGGGUAGUC